AGAGUUUGAUCCUGGCUCAGGACGAACGCUGGCGGCGUGCUUAACACAUGCAAGUCGAGCGGAAAGGCCCUUCGGGGUACUCGAGCGGCGAACGGGUGAGUAACACGUGAGUAACCUGCCCCUGACUCUGGGAUAAGCCUGGGAAACUGGGUCUAAUACCGGAUACGACCUCCUGCGGCAUCGUGGGUGGUGGAAAGUUUUUCGGUUGGGGAUGGGCUCGCGGCCUAUCAGCUAGUUGGUGGGGUAGUGGCCUACCAAGGCGACGACGGGUAGCCGGCCUGAGAGGGCGACCGGCCACACUGGGACUGAGACACGGCCCAGACUCCUACGGGAGGCAGCAGUGGGAAUAUUGCGCAAUGGGCGGAAGCCUGACGCAGCGACGCCGCGUGGGGGAUGACGGCCUUCGGGUUGUAAACCUCUUUCAGCAGGGACGAAGUUGACGUGUACCUGCAGAAGAAGCCCCGGCUAACUACGUGCCAGCAGCCGCGGUAACACGUAGGGGGCAAGCGUUGUCCGGAUUUAUUGGGCGUAAAGAGCUCGUAGGUGGCUGAGUAAGUCGGAUGUUAAAUCCCCAGGCUCAACCUGGGACACCACCCGAUACUGCUCUGGCUAGAGUCCGGUAGGGGAGCGUGGAAUUCCUGGUGUAGCGGUGAAAUGCGCAGAUAUCAGGAGGAACACCAGCGGCGAAGGCGGCGCUCUGGGCCGGUACUGACACUGAGGAGCGAAAGCGUGGGUAGCAAACAGGAUUAGAUACCCUGGUAGUCCACGCCGUAAACGUUGGGCACUAGGUGUGGGGUCUAUUCAACGGACUCCGUGCCGUAGCUAACGCAUUAAGUGCCCCGCCUGGGGAGUACGGCCGCAAGGCUAAAACUCAAAGGAAUUGACGGGGGCCCGCACAAGCAGCGGAGCAUGUUGCUUAAUUCGAGGCAACGCGAAGAACCUUACCUGGGCUUGACAUGUAGAGAAAAGCCGUAGAGAUACGGUGUCCUUCGGGGUUCUACACAGGUGGUGCAUGGUUGUCGUCAGCUCGUGUCGUGAGAUGUUGGGUUAAGUCCCGCAACGAGCGCAACCCUUGUCCUAUGUUGCCAGCACGUAAUGGUGGGGACUCGUAGGAGACUGCCGGGGUCAACUCGGAGGAAGGUGGGGACGACGUCAAAUCAUCAUGCCCCUUAUGUCCAGGGCUGCAAACAUGCUACAAUGGCCGGUACAAAGGGCUGCGAAACCGCGAGGUGGAGCGAAUCCCAUAAAGCCGGUCUCAGUUCGGAUUGGAGUCUGCAACUCGACUCCAUGAAGCUGGAGUUGCUAGUAAUCCCGGAUCAGCAACGCCGGGGUGAAUACGUUCCCGGGCCUUGUACACACCGCCCGUCACACCAUGAAAGUUGGAAACGCCCGAAGCCAGUGGCCUAACCCGCAAGGGAAGGAGCUGUCGAAGGUGGCAUCAGCGAUUAGGGUGAAGUCGUAACAAGGUA
rnacentral:rRNA from 1 species